CAAAUCAUUAAGGGAAAAAAACUUCUCAUCUCUUUCAAUAUCGACAUACCCCAGAAUCUCUCUCUCCACUUAUUGUCCCCAACCAGAAAACUUAACGACCCCUUCUUUGUCGUGAAACAGAGCAUAGCACAACAGAGACUCAGACUUUAUGUCUUAAUCUCUCUCUAAAUCCUCUGUUUAACUUCCUUAAGUGCCAUUCGGGAGUCUAUUGAUACCAAAUAAAUUAUUCAAAAGCAAAACUGAGAUUUUUUGAAUUUCUAAAUGUCUUCGAGUAAUGUUAAUCAUGCUAUGAGGCAAUGGAUGUAUGCAAGAAUUGAUCCCAAUACCAGUCAAGUCUCCAAUAUAUUUACAGAAGGAUUGAAAUAUUUCAUGGUUGUUGCUAAAAACCAUGUUUUAUCUACUCAAAAGUAGAAAAUAUUUUGCCCGUGUAUUAAGUAUGAGAAUAGAAAAUUUCUUGAUGAGCAAACAGUCGUUGGCCAUUUAUAUAACAGAAUAUUUAUGGCCAAUUAUCUUGUUUGGGUUGCACAUGGAGAAUACUAUGAGGUUAACAAUCACCCACGAUAUCUCCCUCACGAGGCAAAAUUAGGUGGUCCAGUCCAAUUUUGAUGGAUGUAUCCGUUUGAACUAUAUAUGUAUCAUUUGAAGAAAAAGGCCAAAAAUAAAGUUGAAAUUGAAGGAUCCAGCGUAGAACAUUAUGUUAACGAGGAACUAGACUCGGAACAAGAUAAUGUAGUAUUUCAAGAUUCACAAUCAAGAGAAGACAGUUCAGACUGUUGAGACGUCAAGACGUGAAACUGCAACGAAGAGAUGACAAACAAAUCCUCUUUUUAUUCUUUAGUUUUCUUACCUUGAGUCUUGACAUCUUGAUUAUUAGCAGCUCUUUUUUUUCUUUGAAACACUUACGA